ACCACAUUUCCUUAAUUCAUCCCUCUGUUCUUAGACACCUAGGUUGGCUCCACACCUCUGGUCCCUUAGCUACCGUGAUGGCACUACAAUCAAUAUUGGUUGAAGGUGUCUCUGGGGUGUGCUGAAUCAGAGGCCCUUGGAAUAUUGACCAAUUUACGUAACGGAAUCAUCAAACGGCCUUCUAACCACAGACUACCUUUUGGUGUUGGAGGAAAUGGAAUUUCCCUGAGACCUGAAUGCACAGGAGAGAGAGGGAAGAAUAAUCCAGUGGUUUGUAGGUAAUUGCCAGUGACUACAUCACUCAAUAUCCUGAAUUCCCGCGCACACAGCAGCUUCCAAUAGUUGAUAGUUCCCUCAGGGAAGGCAGAGCACAGCACCAUGAGCCCCUUCUUCCAUGCUCAAUUAAAAAAAAAAAUCAAUGUUUUUCUUUACUUAUUGCAUGCAUGUGUGUAUGUGUUGGUAUGUGCGCCACAGCACACGUGUGGAGUUCAGGAGGCAACCUGGAGGCUGUUCUCUUCUUCUACCAUGUAGGUCUCAAACCUGGAACAAAUGGCUGAAAGCCACCAUAUCAAAGCAGACCUGGCAGCCGUGUUCUCCCAACAUCCGUCAGUCCCUACCUGUUACAGGGUUUGGCUUGCAUGCCCUGCACCCUAACCUAAACUCCAGCCCAGAAGCUAGGUUGCUCUUCUAGCUGCCCUUCCCUAUAUAAUUCAGCCAUGUUGGUUACCAGGCCAUGUUCAUCUACCCCUUACCCUCCUGGCCUCUUGGUCUAGCUCUUUCUCUCCCCUCCCCCACCUCUUUACGUGAGCCAGCUCAGGGUCAAUUUUUCCUCUAGACUCUCCCAGAUGUCUUUGCCUCUGGCUAUGCUCUCCCUUCGGUCUACAAUAAACCUUCUCCUCCUCCAUGUCUAGGAAGCAGUAAUGCCCCUCCUUUUGAUUCCUUUUUUCAUUCCUCUGGUGCUGGAACCCAGGAUUGGUAUAUAGGAAUUCCCUUCCAAGGAACUUGGCCUCUCUGAACCAAGCUGCUGACUUGACUAUUCUAAGGUACGUAUGGAUCAUUUGUUUCUGCUGACUCCUGCCAUCCAUCAAAUUUCACCCCAAAUUCUAGAGUCCACCUUCUCAGCUACUCCUCCCCUCCGCUCGCUCUAACAGUUCCUUGCCCUGUGUGUUUCUCCAGCUCCUUCUACACCCUCCCCAGGCUCCCACCUGGACACUCAGCUCUGGCCUGCUGACAGGCCAGCUCCCCUUUCCCAGGCCUCUUAUCUCUCUAACCUAGCUCUAGGGAGCUAGGAACUGCAGCCCCGCAGCAGCUGCUCUCAGCUCCUUCCUUCCUUCCUUCCUUCCUUCCUUCCUUCCUUCCUUCCUUCCUUCCUCCCCCCCCCCUCUCUUUUUCAUUCAGGUCCCAGGGGAUUGAGCUCAUGGAGUAAGCUCCUUUACCCACUGAGCUAUGUCAGCAACCCCUAGUCAAUGUCUUAAAUCUAAAGUUGUGGUAUGGUCAUGUUAUAAUAUACAUGUACAUACUCAUACAAGUACAUGUGUGUGAAUGUCUAUGUGUGCGUGUAUGUGUGUGUACUCCUAAGUAUGUGAAGAGAGAACUAUAACUCAUAACCAGAGAGCUUGCCACACUUGAACUUCACAGAUGUCAGAACUGGGUGUUGUGCCUUUACAGGCAUUCCUAAAUUACAGUAAUUUAUUGUGUUGGAAUAAUGUGUAGGUGUGCAUACCAUGGCACAUGCAUGGGUGGCUGAGGACACUUCUGUGACACUUGCUUCUCCCCUUCCAUCUUCCCACAGCUUCUGGGAAUUGAGCUCAGGUCUCCAGCCCGCAGAGCAAGCAUCUUAAUCCACUGAGCACUUCACUAGCAAAAAAGCAGAUGUCUUCCCAGCUGUGAGUUAUGCAGAAUCAGAGUUGGUGGCUAACUCUGAGUUAAGCUGCUGCUUUUUAUGAAUUACGUUUCAUUAACACACUUCUGAUCAUUUAUUUACAGGUCGCUGGUGCUUUCACUCUCUAACAGCAUUAAGUGGAGGCCAGCUCCAGGUGCAUGUGGCCCAGAAAACCUUCACAAUUUACUGCCUGCCUCUUACAGGGGGUCCGGUGCUUCAGGGGAAUCAAAACAUGGUGGAAGGAAACAAUAGAAGCAGAGGGGGAGGAGCCUAGAUGACUGAGGAUGGUUUCAGGAAGAUGCAUUGUUGAAAGGGGAUGUGGAAGGUGGAGUGGUCAGGACACAAGUGUCAGUCAGUUGAGAGGAAGGCUGAAGGCUGGUGGCUUAUAAAUGGAACAGGUGAGGGAAGUUGUGGACAGAGUAGGAGGGCUCAACUGGCCAGAGACAAGGAUGCUCUUUUCUCUGAAGAGGAAACUGGAUGAAAAUGGGUUGUGCUUGCCGCUUGCGGAGGCGGAGGGAAGGAAAUGCAGGGAAGGCAUGCUUGGUCAGGAGGAAACUGGGCAUCUUGCUGAAAGCCAGAGGAAUGUGCCCGGUUCAGCUUCCACCAGUACUGACCAGUGAAUAUUAGCUGAAACUCAGACCUGCAGAAAGCAGCCACUUCAGACGCUGGAUGCCUCCAGGAAGCUGGCCUCCUAGCAAAGUCUCUCUAAAUAGUAAGUAGUUUCAUAGAACAUACAAAAACUGCUCCUUAUAAACAAUUCACCUAGUUAAAGAGUUGGAACUCUAUCCUUAGUUUACAUCUGCAUAGGAAGGGGAGUAGUUAGCAACCCACAAUCUAGGCCACCACCUUAUACUACUGGUUUUAUUGUGUUUCGAGGGAAAUUUGCUAGAAAAAGACAUUUGCAGACUGAAGGUUCACUUCCCCAGUUCUUUCCCUUCAUAUGUUACCCCCACCAGGGUUUGAAUUGCAGUAUGUGCUCAGUCAAGGCUGACAAACUGAAGGUCAUUACCUC